rnacentral:rRNA from 1 species
AAUGCCGGAUGUUCCAGUUGAUCGCAUGGUCUUCUGGGAAAGCUUUCGCGGUAUGGGAUGGGGUCGCGUCCUAUCAGCUUGACGGCGGGGUAACGGCCCACCGUGGCUUCGACGGGUAGCCGGCCUGAGAGGGCGACCGGCCACAUUGGGACUGAGAUACGGCCCAGACUCCUACGGGAGGCAGCAGUGGGGAAUAUUGCACAAUGGGCGCAAGCCUGAUGCAGCGACGCCGCGUGAGGGAUGGAGGCCUUCGGGUUGUAAACCUCUUUUAUCGGGGAGCAAGCGUGAGUGAGUUUACCCGUUGAAUAAGCACCGGCUAACUACGUGCCAGCAGCCGCGGUAAUACGUAGGGUGCAAGCGUUAUCCGGAAUUAUUGGGCGUAAAGGGCUCGUAGGCGGUUCGUCGCGUCCGGUGUGAAAGUCCAUCGCUUAACGGUGGAUCCGCGCCGGGUACGGGCGGGCUUGAGUGCGGUAGGGGAGACUGGAAUUCCCGGUGUAACGGUGGAAUGUGUAGAUAUCGGAA